UUGGCGCAUGGACUGAUCGCGUGUAACAAAUGUUGAGGAAGAAGAUGCUUCAGCAGCUGCGUCCGACAGAAGACGAGUAGCUUGGCCACCAGAAUCUCGAUUCGUUUGGGACUCCGACUGGUGCGAGCGUGGACAAAAGUGUAUAGCCAUGCCCAGCCUGCGGGAAUGAUUUUGCUGGUAGGAUGCUGCCGUCGUUGUCGACAAGACGGCCCAAGGUUUCUUGCGUAGCGGACCUCGCAGAUUACGAGAUCGUAUCCUUGCAUUUGGCUGUGCCCAUCACUGCUCUUCGAGGUUAUCUCGACAUGCAGAAGCCGCCAAUGCCAGUGACAGAAGAGUCUGACAUUAGAUCUCUACGCUAUGCGGCACACAGGCAGUACACACUAUGUACACGGCAAAUUGGGCAAGCACGUUCGUUGUCGUCUUCCAGCCUGCGUUGUGAAUACCAUCAGGCAAAGAUAUCCAAAUUCUGCACCACCUCAGCCUUCUCAGGAGGCUUCCACCUGGAAUUUGGCAGGGAAACUCGCUUCUCCAAGGCAGGAACAUCGAGGUUGCCAUUUGCAACCGCUACCACCUCACACAUGAGCUUGUCAACAUACUCAUAGCUCUUUUUGUCGUAUAAUUUCUAUUUGGCCAGUCUUCUUUAGGGGCCGUCCAAGGUUACCAAUAAUAUUUUCAAAACGAAAUGUUUUCGUUUGUGGGUGGGUGGGUUUGACGGAGUUUCGUUUUGAAAAUAAUUAUUGGUCUUUUUGGUUGUGCUGUGGCGACGGUUGACAUUGACGUCGUCAAGAGCUGCGAGAUGUGCGUGUCCAAUCAUCCCCAGAAUUGAGAAACGAAUGCGUUUGAGAAUGUAGUUUGGCAGGACACUGUGAUAUACCUACCUGCAUGGCAAAAAGAAUGUGGAGAAAACACACUUGCUUAGACAAUAUACUGCUGUAUGAGAAAAUGGAAACUUCACCGUACAGGACGACUCUUGUUCUCAAUUGCAUUGUUCGUUUCAUUCCCUGUGUUGCCCAUAAGAGACGGGAGCAAAAAUGUUCAGCAGAUGUUUGUUGUCUUCUGGCGUGGAGUGGCGGCAUCAUUAGAUGUACACAUUGUCAUUUCACUAAGUACACCACUACUACAGCAUAUGUACUAUCCUUAGGCUAGCGUGCGUGGGAGUGAGUUUGAGUAUGUGGGUGCGUAUGUGUGUGUGUUGUUGUGUUUGUGUGUGUGCACGCACACGCGCGCGCGCAUGUGGGCGAAGGUGUGAGUGCAUGUGUAUAAUAUGUGUAGUUCCCACUGUAUUCCUUGCACAAUAGGUCUUCACUUACUUUUCUUUCGCAUACAACCAGAACCCAUUCCUUGUUCGAAAUUGGAUUUUUUUUGGCCUGGUGAUCCCGCAAGCGUGGAACUCGGAGUGUAAUAAUUUUUUGUUUCACUUUG